GACGAACGCUGGCGGCGUGCUUAACACAUGCAAGUCGAACGGGAAGGCCCGGCUUUUGCGGGGUGCUCGAGUGGCGAACGGGUGAGUAACACGUGAGUAACCUGCCCUUGACUUUGGGAUAACUUCAGGAAACUGGGGCUAAUACCGGAUAGGAGCUCCUGCUGCAUGGUGGGGGUUGGAAAGUUUCGGCGGUUGGGGAUGGACUCGCGGCUUAUCAGCUUGUUUGUGGGGUAGUGGCUUACCAAGGGUUUGACGGGUAGCCGGCCUGAGAGGGUGACCGGCCACAUGGGGACUGAGAUACGGCCCAGACUCCUACGGGAGGCAGCAGUGGGGAAUAUUGCACAGUGGGCGGAAGCCUGAUGCAGCGGCGCCGCGUGCGGGAUGACGGCCUUCGGGUUGUAAACCGCUUUCGCCUGUGACGAAGCGUGAGUGACGGUAAUGGGUAAAGAAGCACCGGCUAACUACGUG
rnacentral:rRNA from 1 species